rnacentral:rRNA from 1 species
UAGGGAAUCUUCGGCAAUGGACGAAAGUCUGACCGAGCAACGCCGCGUGAGUGAAGAAGGUUUUCGGAUCGUAAAACUCUGUUGGUAGAGAAGAACGUUGGUGAGAGUGGAAGGCUCAUCAAGUGACGGUAACUACCCAGAAAGGGCGGCUAACUACGUGCCAC